rnacentral:rRNA from 1 species
CGAGUGGCGAACGGGUGAGUAACGCGUGAGGAACCUGCCUCAAAGAGGGGGACAACAGUUGGAAACGACUGCUAAUACCGCAUAAGCCCACGACCCGGCAUCGGGAGAGGGAAAAGGAGCAAUCCGCUUUGAGAUGGCCUCGCGUCCGAUUAGCUAGUUGGUGAGGUAACGGCCCACCAAGGCGACGAUCGGUAGCCGGACUGAGAGGUUGAACGGCCACAUUGGGACUGAGACACGGCCCAG